UACGUAGGGAGCAAGCGUUGUCCGGAAUCAUUGGGCGUAAAGCGCGCGUAGGUGGCUUCGUAAGUCCGUUCUGAAAGCCCGGGGCUCAACCCCGGGAGGCGGAUGGAUACUGUUUGGCUCGAGUCCGGAAGAGGCGAGUGGAAUUCCCGGUGUAGCGGUGAAAUGCGCAGAUAUCGGGAGGAACACCAAUGGCGAAGGCAGCUCGCUGGGACGGUACUGACGCUGAGACGCGAAAGCGUGGGGAGCAAACAGG
rnacentral:rRNA from 1 species